rnacentral:lncRNA from 1 species
CUUCAUACCAAACGGACCCUAAAAGAAUUUGUUUCUAAAAUUUUCACCAAUAAUACUGUAACAAUUAAAUUAGUUCUAAAAUUACACGUCCCAGGCUGCUUCGAAUCAUACAAAUUAAAUUAAAGAAAUGGGAAUGAGAUUCAAACUUAAAAUCUAGUGGCAGGCUAACCUUGUGCAAUGGCUUAGGGUCCAAAAUUGUAGGGGUGUAAUUUCUUUUUAUAUACUCUUAAAGGAAAUGUUGCAACGCUGCUUCGCUUUUUGAUUCCUUC